rnacentral:rRNA from 1 species
GUGCCAGCAGCCGCGGUAAUACGGGGGGUGCGAGCGUUGUUCGGAUUCACUGGGUAUAAAGGGUGCGCAGGCGGACUGGUAAGUCAGAGGUGAAAUUUGUCGGCUCAACCGACAAACUGCCCCUGAAACUGCCAGUCUUGAGUCCGGGAGAGGUAGGUGGAAUUCCAGGUGUAGCGGUGAAAUGCGUAAAUAUCUGGAGGAACACCGGUGGCGAAGGCGGCCUACUGGCCCGGAACUGACGCUCAGGCACGAAAGCUAGGGGAGCGAACGGGAUUAGAAACCCUGGUAGUCC